UACGAAGGGUGCAAGCGUUAAUCGGAAUUACUGGGCGUAAAGGGUGCGUAGGCGGUUAUUUAAGUCUGCCGUGAAAUCCCCUGGCUCAACCUGGGAAUGGCGGUGGAUACUGGAUAGCUAGAGUGUGUCAGAGGAUGGUGGAAUUCCCGGUGUAGCGGUGAAAUGCGUAGAGAUCGGGAGGAACAUCAGUGGCGAAGGCGGCCAUCUGGGACGGUACUGACGCUGAGACGCGAAAGCGUGGGGAGCGAACAGG
rnacentral:rRNA from 1 species